rnacentral:rRNA from 1 species
UACGGGGGGAGCAAGCGUUGUUCGGAUUUACUGGGCGUAAAGGGCACGCAGGCGGUUUGGCAAGUCGGAUGUGAAAACCCGAAGCUCAACUUCGGGCCUGCAUCCGAAACUGCCCGACUAGAGGUAGGUAGGGGAGAUCGGAAUUCCUGGUGUAGCGGUGAAAUGCGCAGAUAUCAGGAGGAACACCGGUGGCGAAGGCGGCAUCCUGGACCGAGAUUGACGCUGAUGCGCGAAAGCCAGGGGAGCAAACGGG